rnacentral:misc_RNA from 1 species
GAAAUGCGAUAAGUAAUGUGAAUUGCAGAAUUCAGUGAAUCAUCGAAUCUUUGAACGCACAUUGCGCCCGCCAGUACUCUGGCGGGCAUGCCUGUUCGAGCGUCAUUUCAACCAUCAAGCCACCGGCUUGUGUUGGGGACCUGCGGCUGCCCGCAGGCCCUGAAAAACAGUGGCGGGCUCGCUGUCACACCGAGCGUAGUAGCAUACAUUCUCGCUCAGGGCGUGCUGCGGGUUCCGGCCGUUAAACGACCUUCAUAACCCAAGGUUGACCUCGGAUCAGGUAGGAAGACCCGCUGAACUUAAGC